rnacentral:misc_RNA from 1 species
GUUAGUGGGAGGUUAUUCCUCCAUAUAGAAGUAGUGCUCCUUGUAUGUAGGGAGUAGUUAUUUCUGCACUUGUAUAUAUUCAGCAAAUCUGAUGGAAUAAAACAGACUGUUAAAAACCCAAUUUAAGUCUUCUUGACUGAGGUUUCAGGCUCCCUUUAACGAGUCUGACUUUUUCUUGUCUUCCACCAUAGGUCGCUCAAGGAAACACCCUAACCCAAACACCCAAACACCAACCCCUCCUACUACCCAUCGACCCAUAACUAGAUCCGUUAGCCGGGACCAUAACAGUUUGGUAUCAGAGCCUGCAGUUAUGGGAGAUUCUGUUCAAGACCAGCUGGCUAAGCUCUUUAACUUGUUAUUAGCCGAGCAACAAUCCAACAAGGAACUGCACGCCAAAUUCAAUGCUCUAACUCAGGAAUGGGAAUCCACUAAAAAGGAUUUCCAAACCAGCAGCACUGGAAGUCCAGCAAGCUUACGGAGAGAUAAGGGAAUUUCGGGUACUGCGAAUUCUGAAAAAUCUGGAGGAAGCUCGUUUGUACCGAAAUUCACAAAACUGGAUUUUCCUCGCUAUGAUGGGAAAGAUGACCCUUUGGGAUGGCUAAACCGUUGCAAACACUUCUUUCAGCACCAACAAACUCCGGAAGAAGAGAUGGUCAGUUUAGCUUCAUACCAUCUCGAAGGAAUUGCCCAACUUUGGUACAUGCAGUUGCUGGAUGACAUUCCGAAUCCCUCUUGGGCUGAGUUUUCUCA